rnacentral:rRNA from 1 species
UACGUAGGGGGCGAGCGUUGUCCGGAGUUACUGGGCGUAAAGGGCAUGCAGGCGGUCCGACACGUUUUGUGUGACAGCGGGUGGCUUAACUACCCGAGGAUGCAAAAGACGGUUGGACUUGAGGACUCGAGAGGGACACGGAAUUCCGGGUGGAGUGGUGAAAUGCGUAGAGAUCCGGAGGAACACCGAAGGCGAAGGCAGUGUCCUGGCGAGUGACUGACGCUGAGGUGCGAAAGCCAGGGGAGCGAACGGG